GAUUGACACGCGUCAAUCUAUAGUUGUGGAUGACAGUGUUCGGGAGAGCCCAGGAACUGUCAAAACUUGGUUCUCUGCAGUCCUGAAGGCACUCUGUCUCUUUCGGUCACUCCAUCUGACGAUUGGUGCCUGAAAUACACCUACGGUUUCUGGUCAGCGUUUAUCAGUGGUUGGAAGAACAGAACCCCUAGGAACCCUGCUGUCAGCACGCAGAGUGUAAAGUCUCAGAUCAAGGAUUCGGAGAAAGGUCUCUACAGGUCCCUCCUCGUUAGUAUAGUGGUUGGUUGGGAUGAGUCGGGUUGGACCCGUGCGGAUCCAGGAAAACAGCGAUCGAGGUAAAAGUAAUGGCUGCCGUCGUCUGCCCAGCGCGCAAUUACUUCCCAGCAGUCACUAGAAGCCCAGGACCACG
rnacentral:lncRNA from 10 species